rnacentral:rRNA from 1 species
GUGUCAGCCGCCGCGGUAAUACGGAGGGUGCGAGUGUUAAUCGGAAUUACUGGGCGUAAAGCGCAUGCAGGUGGUUUGUUAAGUCAGAUGUGAAAUCCCCGGGCUCAACCUGGGAAUUGCAUUUAAAACUGUCCAGCUAGAGUCUUGUAGAGGGGGGUAGAAUUCCAGGUGUAGCGGUGAAAUGCGUAGAGAUCUGGAGGAAUACCGGUGGCAAAGGAGGCCCCCUGGACAAAGACUGACGCUCAGGUGCGAAAGCGUGGGGAGCAAACAGGAUUAGAAACCCCCGUAGUCC